rnacentral:rRNA from 1 species
AUGAGGGAGGGGCAAGAAAUUAAACAGGCUGAGCCCAUGAGGGAAUUUCUACAGUUUUGCAGUUCUCUUGGAAAGGUACGUCGAUUGUCAAAGCAGUUUUCACAAGAGGAGAGGGAAAAGCUUUCUCAGUAUCGUGAGUCAGUCAGACAACACUAUGCUGGACUUCAGUGUGGUGUUCGAGAAGGUCUACCAACUGUUCUUGCUUGGCCCUUAGCAGUUGGGCAGCGUGUUAUAGCCUGUCAUCUCAAAACAAGAGAACUUCAUGAUGGGAGUGUUUUGACUGUCGACCGCAAUCGCCGUCGGGUUCAAUUUGAUUGGCCGGAGCUGGGUAUUGAGUUUGUGAUGGCAACGUGCAAAAAUUGCACCGAGAAGCAGUAUCACCCUGCGGAAGUGGCGCACAUCCUCGACUCGGCGCUGUCGCGGCUGCAACCGUGCAGCUCGCAGAACGUCCCCAUCUUCAGAGAGAUUGAGAUGUGCAUGGGUAUCGUCAAGAACCAGAUGCUGGCGCUGAUAUAUACCCACCCCUAG